GACACCGAUACGGUCUUC
rnacentral:snRNA from 1 species